UACGUAGGGGCUAGCGUUGUCCGGAAUCAUUGGGCGUAAAGGGUUCGUAGGCGGUAAUACAUGUCAGAUGUGAAAUCUUGUGGCUUAACCACAUCAAGCAUCUGAAACUGUAUAACUUGAGUGAAGGAGAGGUAAGUGGAAUUCCCAGUGUAGCGGUGAAAUGCGUAGAUAUUGGGAAGAACACCGGUGGCGAAGGCGACUUGCUGGGCAGCAACUGACGCUGAGGCGCGAAAGCCAGGGGAGCAAACGGGAUUAGAUAU
rnacentral:rRNA from 1 species